GUGCAUCUACAUCAUUGUAUUUUACUAAUUUUUUUCUUUACUGUCUUUUCUGAAUGUAGGGAAUUAUUGACAUCAUCUACAAGGCAUAUUAACCAUGAAGAAAGACAGAUUUCAACUGUAUGUCCUCUUUCUGCAGAGACUGAAGAAGAGAGUUCCAUGGACCCCAGCUUCAAAAAACAUGACUCUACAGUGUGAAAUAAUUGAGGGUAAGCACUGCGAA
rnacentral:lncRNA from 1 species